rnacentral:lncRNA from 1 species
UGAGAGCUUUUAGAUCUUCUCGCCUCCAUGUCUUGGGAUAUACGUCUGCUAUUCAUUGAUGGACAAACAUAGGAGUCGAGUCAGACUGCUCGAACUCAUCUCCAUCCUGCAUGACUUGAGAUCUGCUCGGGAUAGCCUCCUAGCGACGUCACGCAUCAUCCUCCUAAGUCUUCCAUCUCGUGCCCGAUCCAUCUCCACCU